AUUGAACGCUGGCGGCAUGCCUUACACAUGCGAGUCGAACGGUAACGGGCCUUCGGGUGCCGCCGAGUGGCGCACGGGUGAGUAAUACAUCGGAACGUGCCCGAUCGUGGGGGAUAACGAGGCGAAAGCUUUGCUAAUACCGCAUACGAUCUACGGAUGAAAGCAGGGGACCGCAAGGCCUUGCGCGGACGGAGCGGCCGAUGGCAGAUUAGGUAGUUGGUGGGAUAAAAGCUUACCAAGCCGACGAUCUGUAGCUGGUCUGAGAGGAUGAUCAGCCACACUGGGACUGAGACACGGCCCAGACCCCUACGGGAGGCAGCAGUGGGGAAUUUUGGACAAUGGGCGCAAGCCUGAUCCAGCCAUGCCGCGUGCAGGAUGAAGGCCUUCGGGUUGUAAACUGCUUUUGUACGGAACGAAAAGCCUUCUUUUAAUACAGGAGGGUCAUGACGGUACCGUAAGAAUAAGCACCGGCUAACUACGUG
rnacentral:rRNA from 1 species